rnacentral:lncRNA from 1 species
UAUGGAGGGAGGGGUGGAAACCGUGGAAAACUCGUCUCCGUGAUUGAGCGGGAGAGUAAGUAGUAUAGGACAUUAUCCAUUGUUAGGGAACGGUUGUAAUGGUAGUGAGAAUGUAGAAUCGUCUGUGGAGCGGACCUGGGAGUGGCAAGCAUAAGGGACGAAGACGGGGAAACAUGUCGGAUGCGAUCAUACCAGCACUAAAGCACCGGAUCCCAUCAGAACUCCGAAGUUAAGCGUGCUUGGGCGAGAGUAGUACUAGGAUGGGUGACCUCCUGGGAAGUCCUCGUGUUGCAUUCCUUUUAUAAUUAUUUUUUGCGCCUUGUGACAAACAUGUUGCACGUGCGCGAUAUAUAUUAAUCCCGUUAUAUUAUGUUUGACGUUUGCGAUAUGUUUAAGCUCGAUGCUCAUUGCUCGCGCGUCUUGGGGCGGCUUUGUGGCGCGAAGAGCGCGUUCUGAAAGGGGUGGAAAAAACUCGUGUUGCUGCGGUAUGGAGGGAGGGGUGGAAACCGUGGAAAACUCGUCUCCGUGAUUGAGCAGGAGAGUAAGUAGUAUAGGACAUUAUCCAUUGUUAGGGAACGGUUGUAAUGGUAGUGAGAAUGUAGAAUCGUCUUUGGAGCGGACCUGGAAGUGGAAAGCAUAAGGGACGAAGACGGGGAAACAUGUCGGAUGCGAUCAUACCAGCACUAAAGCACCGGAUCCCAUCAGAACUCCGAAGUUAAGCGUGCUUGGGCGAGAGUAGUACUAGGAUGGGUGACCUCCUGGGAAGUCCUCGUGUUGCAUUCCUUUUAUAAUUAUUUUUUGCGCCUUGUGACAAACAUGUCGCACGUGCGCGAUAUAUAUUAAUCCCGUUAUAUUAUGUUUGACGUUUGCGAUAUGUUUAAGCUCGAUGCUCAUUGCUCGCGCGUCUUGGGGCGGCUUUGUGGCGCGAAGAGCGCGUUCUGAAAGGGGUGGAAAAAACUCGUGUUGCUGCGGUAUGGAGGGAGGGGUGGAAACCGUGGAAAACUCGUCUCCGUGAUUGAGCGGGAGAGUAAGUAGUAUAGGACAUUAUCCAUUGUUAGGGAAUGGUUGUAAUGGUAGUGAGAAUGUAGAAUCGUCUUUGGAGCGGACCUGGGAGUGGAAAGCAUAAGGGACGAAGACGGGGAAACAUGUCGGAUGCGAUCAUACCAGCACUAAAGCACCGGAUCCCAUCAGAACUCUGAAGUUAAGCGUGCUUGGGCGAGAGUAGUACUAGGAUGGGUGACCUCCUGGGAAGUCCUCGUGUUGCAUUCCUUUUAUAAUUAUUUUUUGCGCCUUGUGACAAACAUGUCGCACGUGCGCGAUAUAUAUUAAUCCCGUUAUAUUAUGUUUGACGUUUGCGAUAUGUUUAAGCUCGAUCCUCAUUGCUCGCGCGUCUUGGGGCGGUUUUGUGGCGCGAAGAGCGCGUUCUGAAAGGGGUGGAAAAAACUCGUGUUGCUGCGGUAUGGAGGGAGGGGUGGAAACCGUGGAAAACUCGUCUCCGUGAUUGAGCGGGAGAGUAAGUAGUAUAAGACAUUAUCCAUUGUUAGGGAACGGUUGUAAUGGUAGUGAGAAUGUAGAAUCGUCUUUGGAGCGGACCUGGGAGUGGCAAGCAUAAGGGACGAAGACGGGGAAACAUGUCGGAUGCGAUCAUACCAGCACUAAAGCACCGGAUCCCAUCAGAACUCCGAAGUUAAGCGUGCUUGGGCGAGAGUAGUACUAGGAUGGGUGACCUCCUGGGAAGUCCUCGUGUUGCAUUCCUUUUAUAAUUAUUUUUUG